GACGAACGCUGGCGGCGUGCCUAAUACAUGCAAGUCGAACGAGAGCGACCGGUGCUUGCACUGGUCAAUCUAGUGGCGAACGGGUGAGUAACACGUGGGUAACCUGCACAGCAGAGGGGGAUAACAUCCGGAAACGGAUGCUAACACAGCAUAGGUGUUCGAGCCGCAUGGCUUGAAGAGGAAAAGGGGCGCAAGCUUCUGCUGGUGGAUGGAGCCGCGGUGCAUUAGCUAGUUGGUGAGGUAACGGCUCACCAAGGCCGUGAUGCAUAGCCGACCUGAGAGGGUGAUCGGCCACAUUGGGACUGAGACACGGCCCAAACUCCUACGGGAGGCAGCAGUAGGGAAUCUUCCGCAAUGGACGCAAGUCUGACGCAGCAACGCCGCGUGAGUGAAGAAGGUCUUCGGAUCGUAAAACUCUGUUGUUAGAGAAGAACGAGUGCUAGAUUAACUGUUAGCGCCUUGACGGUAUCUACACAGAAAGCCCCGGCUAACUACGUG
rnacentral:rRNA from 1 species